CUCUUAUCAAGAGAGGCAGAGGGACUGGCCUGAUGAAGCCUCGGCAACCGGUUAAAAUCCGGUGCCAAUUCCAGCAAAGCUACGGCUUUGAAAGAUGAGAG
rfam:Brevibacillus parabrevis strain CN1 contig_16, whole genome shotgun sequence.